rnacentral:rRNA from 1 species
CCCUACGGGGGGCAGCAGUAGGGAAUCUUCCACAGUGGGCGAAAGCCUGAUGGAGCAACGCCGCGUGGGUGAAGAAGGUCUUCGGAUCGUAAAACCCUGUUGUUAGAGAAGAAAGUGCGUGAGAGUAACUGUUCACGUUUCGAUGGUAUCUAACCAGAAAGCCACGGCUAACUACGUGCCAGCAGCCGCGGUAAUACGUAGGUGGCAAGCGUUAUCCGGAUUUAUUGGGCGUAAAGGGAACGCAGGCGGUCUUUUAAGUCUUAUGUGAAAGCCUUCGGCUUAACCGGGGUAGUGCAUUGGAAACU